UGCAAACCUUCAGACAGACUC
rnacentral:misc_RNA from 1 species